AGUAAACGCUGGCGGCGUGCUUAACACAUGCAAGUCGAACGGACUUAAGGGGCUUGCUUCUUAAGUUAGUGGCGCACGGGUGAGUAAUAUAUAGCUAACCUGCCCUUUAGUGGGGGACAACAGUUGGAAACGGCUGCUAAUACCCCAUACUCCUUCUUAUCAUAAGGUAAGUUGGGAAAGAUUUAUCGCUAAAGGAUGGGGCUUUAUUGUAUCAGCUAGUUGGUGGGGUAACGGCCUACCAAGGCUAUGACGCAUACCUGGUCUGAGAGGAUGAUCAGGCACACUGGAACUGAGACACGGUCCAGACUCCUACGGGAGGCAGCAGUGGGGAAUAUUGCACAAUGGAGGAAACUCUGAUGCAGCAACGCCGCGUGGAGGAUGACGCAUUUCGGUGUGUAAACUCCUUUUAUAGGGGAAGAUAACGACGGUACCCUAUGAAUAAGCACCGGCUAACUCCGUGCCAGCAGCCGCAGUAAUAC
rnacentral:rRNA from 1 species